rnacentral:rRNA from 1 species
GAUGAACGCUGGCGGCGUGCCUAAUACAUGCAAGUCGAGCGAACAGACGAGGCGCUUGCUCCUCUGACGUUAGCGGCGGACGGGUGAGUAACACGUGGAUAACCUACCUAUAAGACUGGGAUAACUUCGGGAAACCGGAGCUCAUACCGGAUAAUAUAUUGAACCGCAUGGUUCAAUAGUGAAAGACGGUUUUGCUGUCACUUAUAGAUGGAUCCGCGCCGCAUUAGCUAGUUGGUAAGGUAACGGCUUACCAAGGCAACGAUGCGUAGCCGACCUGAGAGGGUGAUCGGCCACACUGGAACUGAGACACGGUCCAGACUCCUACGGGAGGCAGCAGUAGGGAAUCUUCCGCAAAGGGCGAAAGCCUGACGGAGCAACGCCGCGUGAGUGAUGAAGGUCUUCGGAUCGUAAAACUCUGUUAUUAGGGAAGAACAAAUGUGUAAGUAACUAUGCACGUCUUGACGGUACCUAAUCAGAAAGCCACGGCUAACUACGUG